rnacentral:rRNA from 1 species
GACGAACGCUGGCGGCGUGCUUAACACAUGCAAGUCGAACGAAGUGGCGAACGGGUGAGUAACGCGUCAUCAAACUGCCCUUCAGAGGGGGACAACAGUUGGAAACGACUGCUAAUACCGCAUACUGAAGGAGGGGAUUGCGUCUGAUUUGCUAGUUGGAGGGGUAACGGCCCACCAAGGCGAUGAUCAGUAGCCGGUCUGAGACGAUGAACGGCCACAGUGGGACUGGGACAAGGCCCAGACUCAUACGGGAGGCAGCAGUGGGGAAUCUGCCGCAAUGGACGAAAGGCCGACGGAGCAACGCCGCGUGAUUGAUGACGGCCUUCGGGUUGUAAAGCUCUGUUAAUCCGGACUCAGUACCGGAAUAGAAAGCCACGGCUAACUACGUGCCAGCAGCCGCGGUAAUUC